GGCGCUGGAGCCAGACGGCCAGGCGACUGCCUGCAAAGCAGUUGAAGUGGGUUCGACUCCCACCGGCGUCU
rnacentral:tRNA from 1 species